UCCAGACUCCUACGGGAGGCAGCAGUGGGGGAUAUUGCACAAUGGGGGGAACCCUGAUGCAGCGACGCCGCGUGGGUGAAGGAGUGCUUCGGCAUGUAAAGCCCUAUCGGCAGGGAAGAAGCAAGACGGUACCUGUCGAAUAAGCCACGGCUAACUACGUGCCGGCAGCCGCGGGAAUACGUAGGUGGCAAGCGUUGUCCGGAUUUACUGGGUGUAAAGGGCGUGUAGCCGGGCUUACAAGUCAGAUGUGAAAUCCGGGGGCUCAACCCCCGAACUGCAUUUGAAACUGUAGGUCUUGAGUAUCGGAGAGGCAGGCGGAAUUCCUAGUGUAGCGGUGAAAUGCGUAGAUAUUAGGAGGAACACCAGUGGCGAAGGCGGCCUGCUGGACGACAACUGACGGUGAGGCGCGAAAGCGUGGGGAGCAAACAGGAUUAGAUACCCCCGUA
rnacentral:rRNA from 1 species